rnacentral:rRNA from 1 species
UACGGGAGGCAGCAGUGGGGAAUUUUCCGCAAUGGGCGAAAGCCUGACGGAGCAAUACCGCGUGAGGGAGGAAGGCCUGUGGGUUGUAAACCUCUUUUCUCAAGGAAGAAGACAGUGACGGUACUUGAGGAAUCAGCAUCGGCUAACUCCGUGCCAGCAGCCGCGGUAAGACGGAGGAUGCAAGCGUUAUCNGGAAUUAUUGGGCGUAAAGCGUCCGCAGGUGGAUUUACAAGUCUGCUGUUAAAGUGCAGAGCUUAACUCUGUAAAGGCGGUGGAAACUGUAAGUCUUGAGUAUGGUAGGGGUAGAGGGAAUUCCCGGUGCAGCGGUGAAAUGCGUAGAUAUGCGGGAAGAACACCAGUGGCGAAAGCGCUCUACUGGGCCAUAACUGACAUUGAGGGACGAAAGCUAGGGGAGCGAAAGGGAUUAGAUACCCCUGUAGUCCUAGCCCGUAAACGAUGGACACUAGGUGUUGGCCGUAUCGAGCCCGGUCGGCGCGGUAGGUAACGCGUUAAGUGCCCGCGCUCCC